AAUAAGUGCAGUUUUGCACUAUUUAUGUUUAACGUUUGACCGUUCGUUUUAUUUGAAAUUUUUUUAUGAUUAGUAUUUUUAUUGUUAUUAGAUGAUAAAACAUGAAUAAUACUUUAUAUGUGACUAAAUAUUUUUAAAUUUUUCAUAAAUUUUUUAAAUAAGACGAAUGGUCAAACGUUGGGUACGGAUAUCCACGGCUGUACUUGUU
rnacentral:pre_miRNA from 1 species